UCUCUUGUACACAUACUCCUUCAUUAACGAGAACACGGGGGAUUUUUUUUUUGGGGUGGAGGGGGGGUUGCCUCUUCUUCAUCAUCUGAAGGAACACUCCAUUUCUUGGAAUUGGUACGUAAAACACCACUCAACCUUACCACAAAAAGCAUGACCCUCACCUCAAUUUUCCAUGGUUUCUUAGGAAGGGGUAGACGCACACACACAGUAACAUACAUACACACACAAACCAGUGAAAAGAAGGGGCCAAAUAUUUCAUUUUUAGGGAGAGAUUGGAACAGAGAGGGAGAGAGAUCAGAGAAACCAAAUCGAGAGAGUGUUAGGCAAAGAAAAGAGAUAUGAGGGAGAAAGCAGACAGGGGGAAGUGAUCGGAAACUGGCAAACCCGGCCAGAAAAUGUUGGGACUCUCCAGAAUCCUUCUUGACUCAUCAUUUUUUUCCACCGCCUGAGCUCACCGGAGCUCAGGCUACACGGAUUUUGUUUUUCUAACGUGUUGACUGGCUUUUAGGUUAGUCUAUUCUCGUGGUUCAUUAUGGAUAUCGGAUUUCAGGGUCUUCACGAUUAAGUGGUCAGUAUUCGUGGAUUGGAACUCUGUUCAUCUCAAUCAGUCCAUCGCUAUCAAUAUCAAAGUUGGAAUUCGAUUUGGAGAUUCAUGUUGAGGUUCCGGUUUAAGAAUUUCGAUUUCAGAUUUUUUUAUCAACAACCAGGACAAGUUUCAUUGAGGAGAGAUAUUGACAUCCCGAGCUGCACUUGCAAUGCAUAUUUCUAGCAUGUAUUCAUCACUUUCAUCAAAUAUGUCAUAGUCUUGGAGGAUUUCAAAACUCUUUGAAGACAAUGUAUCACUUUCCACCAAUUGUUUGGUAGUAUUAAUUCUAGAAAGGAAAUUAAUUACACCACCUGAAGUUUGCUUGUAGCUUGAUGAAUAAUUAUUAAUUGCAAAUUUAUUUGGGACAAAAA